rnacentral:rRNA from 1 species
GAUGAACGCUGGCGGCGUGCCUAACACAUGCAAGUCGAGCGAUUCUCUUCGGAGAAGAGCGGCGGACGGGUGAGUAACGCGUGGGUAACCUGCCCUGUACACACGGAUAACAUACCGAAAGGUAUGCUAAUACGAGAUAAUAUGCUUUUAUCGCAUGGUAGAAGUAUCAAAGCUUUUGCGGUACAGGAUGGACCCGCGUCUGAUUAGCUAGUUGGUAAGGUAACGGCUUACCAAGGCGACGAUCAGUAGCCGACCUGAGAGGGGGAUCGGCCACAUUGGAACUGAGACACGGUCCAAACUCCUACGGGAGGCAGCAGUGGGGAAUAUUGCACAAUGGGCGAAAGCCUGAUGCAGCAACGCCGCGUGAGCGAUGAAGGCCUUCGGGUCGUAAAGCUCUGUCCUCAAGGAAGAUAAUGACGGUACUUGAGGAGGAAGCCCCGGCUAACUACGUGCCAGCAGCCGCAGUAAUAC